rnacentral:rRNA from 1 species
UUGGAGGGCAAGUCUGGUGCCAGCAGCCGCGGUAAUUCCAGCUCCAAUAGCGUAUAUUAAAGUUGUUGCAGUUAAAAAGCUCGUAGUUGAAUUUCGGGAUUGACGUGAUGGUCAUGCCUUAAGGGGUAUGAACUGUCACUGUUGAUUUCUCACCUUCUGGAGAAACUUGAUGUCCUUUAUUGGGUGUCUUGCGGAUCCAGGACCUUUACCUUGAAAAAAUUAGAGUGUUUAAAGCAGGCAUUUUUGCUCGAAUACAUUAGCAUGGAAUAAUAGAAUAGGACGGCAUGGUUCUAUUUUGUUGGUUUCUAGGAUCACCGUAAUGAUUAAUAGGGAUAGUUGGGGGCAUUAGUAUUCAAUUGUCAGAGGUGAAAUUCUUGGAUUUAUUGAAGACUAACUACUGCGAAAGCAUUUGCCAAGGAUGUUUUCAUUAAUCAAGAACGAAAGUUAGGGGAUCGAAGACGAUCAGAUACCGUCGUAGUCUUAACCAUAAACUAUGCCGACUAGGGAUCGGAUGAUGUUAAUUUUUUAAUGACUCAUUCGGCGCCUUACGGGAAACCAAAGUGUUUGGGUUC